rnacentral:rRNA from 1 species
UACGUAGGGUGCAAGCGUUGUCCGGAAUUAUUGGGCGUAAAGAGCUCGUAGGCGGUCUGUUGCGUCGGCUGUGAAAACCCGGGGCUCAACCCCGGGCCUGCAGCCGAUACGGGCAGACUAGAGUUCGGCAGGGGAGACUGGAAUUCCUGGUGUAGCGGUGAAAUGCGCAGAUAUCAGGAGGAACACCCGUGGCGAAAGCGGCUCUCUGGGACGGUACUGACGCUGAGACGCGAAAGCGUGGGGAGCAAACAGG